rnacentral:rRNA from 1 species
GGGUGAGUAACGCGUAAGCAAUCUGCCCCCUGCUCGGGAAUAGCCGUGCCAACGCGCGGAUAAUACCGGAUAUCGUGGGGCCCUGCAUAGGGCCUUGACAAAAGAUUUAUCGGCAGGGGAUGAGCUUGCGUCCGAUUAGCUAGUUGGCGGGGCAACGGCCCACCAAGGCGACGAUCGGUAGCCGGCCUGAGAGGGUGAUCGGCCACAUUGGGACUGAGAUACGGCCCAGACUCCUACGGGAGGCAGCAGUAGGGAAUAUUGCACAAUGGGGGAAACCCUGAUGCAGCAACGCCACGUGUGGGAAGAAGCAUUUCGGUGUGUAAACCACUGUCGUGAGGGAAUAAGGCUGUUUUUCGGAGCAGUUGAAUGUACCUCGAGAGGAAGCACCGGCAAACUUCGUGCCAGCAGCCGCGGUAAUACGAGGGGUGCAAGCGUUGUUCGGAAUCACUGGGCGUAAAGGGAGCGCAGGCGGAAGCUCAAGCGGAUUGUACAAUACCGGGGCCCAACCCCGGACCUGCAGUCCGAACUGGGUUUCUUGGAUAGUUCAGGGGCAAGCGGAAUUCCUGGUGUAGCGGUGGAAUGCGUAGAGAUCAGGAAGAACACCGAUGGCGAAGGCAGCU